rnacentral:rRNA from 1 species
UACGUAGGGGGCAAGCGUUGUCCGGAUUUAUUGGGCGUAAAGAGCGUGUAGGCGGCCUGACAGGUCUGCUGUGAAAACUCGAGGCUCAACCUCGAGAUGUCGGCGGAAACCGUCUGGCUAGAGUCCGGAAGAGGAGAGUGGAAUUCCCUGUGUAGCGGUGAAAUGCGCAGAUAUCGGGAGGAACACCGGUGGCGAAGGCGGUUCUCUGGCCUUACCUGACGCUGGAGGAGCGAAAGCGUAGGGAGCGAACAGG